GAGGCCUAGGCUCCACCCCCGCACACUCCCAUUGGCCGUCGUCGUCUCGACUCCCGCGGUCUACCGGUCCAGGAGGAACUGGCUCCACAGGGCUUGUUCAUUUCAGGCCAGUGAGACUGGAGCAGAUGUUCACACAAUGCCUUGAGGACAGAGAGACCUCCUAAGAGAGCCACCAGGGAGAGAUGACUCUUCUUCCUCGAUGUGAGGCUGGAACUGCUACUGGCUUGGAGACCAAGCUCCUGCGUCAGCAUGUUUUGAAGCCCACCCCACCUUUGUACAGCCAGCUACCGGAGUUAAUAUGCAUCCUUUGAAACUUGAAGAGCUCCUGAGGGAAUCUGGACAGGCCAUCGUCCGUGUAUUUCCUUGAAAUCAAGUGGAAUGGAUUUCCAUCUCACAUAACACUUGACCAUGUCUUUCCUUCAGAAGAUGGCCUCUGAAGUGUUCAGGAGUGAAGAGUAUCUGAUGCCUGCAACUACUUCUAGAUGGUUCUUCAGGAACAGGAGCUUCAUCUGCACCAGCUUGAUGUUCUUCUGCGCCUCUGUCACCUGCUCCACCAGCUCCUUCAUGGACUUUUCCUCCUGGAGGC